GAUGAACGCUGGCGGCGUGCCUAAUACAUGCAAGUCGAGCGAACGGACGAGAAGCUUGCUUCUCUGAUGUUAGCGGCGGACGGGUGAGUAACACGUGGAUAACCUACCUAUAAGACUGGGAUAACUUCGGGAAACCGGAGCUAAUACCGGAUAAUAUUUUGAACCGCGUGGUUCAAAAGUGAAAGACGGUCUUGCUGGCACGUAUAGAUGGAUCCGCGCUGCAUUAGAUAGUUGGUAAGGUAACGGCUUACGAAGGCAACGAUGCAUAGCCGAACGGAGUGAGUGAUCGGCGACACUGGAGCUGAGACGGGGUCAUGACGCCUACGGGACGGAGCAGUAGGCAACGUUACGCAGUGGGCGAGAGCAUUACGGAGCAACGGGACGUGAGUGGUGGAAGUCUUGCGAUCGUAAUACUGUGUUAUUAGGGAUGAACAUAUGUGUACGUAAAUGUACAGAGCGUGACGGUAACUGAUAAGAAAGCCACGGCUAACUACGUG
rnacentral:rRNA from 1 species